GUGAGGGUCACAUUUUCUCUAUUUCUGCAAAAUUAUUUCAAACACAAUGUUCUCGUUUUGUUGAAGGGGGAGUGGAAUUCCUACUUGGACAUGUUAAGUUGGAGAUGUCCAUCAGACAGCGAAGAUGAGAUGUCAAGAAUCUCUCCUCCACCCCUAAGUUCAAGGAAGCCUCGGGAAUCGAGCUGGCCAGGAUGUCAGAAGCCAGCCUGCGACGUCCAGAGAAUCCACAGCCCAGGGAGCUCUAACAGACACACCUGCCGCAGACAGAUGAAAAGGAUGUUGCUCUGUCUGCCUCACAAUGCUGAAGGGGUCAAGGGGAAGUCAGGGAGAUCACUCCAUCAUGCCAAUAUGUGGAACACAACAUGAAGGACGUUUAUCAAGACCUCGUGGAGUUAUGUGAAGAAGGGAUGAAAAUAGAGCACCUUCUGAACCACCAAAAACAAGUGUAUCAACCUGGAGAUGGUGGUUGCCAAGUCCACAUGCCUGGUUCUAAGCACAGCCACGAUAACGAUCCAAACAUCAUCAUUUUCACAUUUCCUGUAAACAUCCACUUCACUCUUCAGAGAGAAGUGAUCGGAGAAGACAGGAAGAGCGAACAAUGGAGGAGUGUUGACGUUAUUUAUUAAGGAAUUUCUGAACGCACUGCAUGAAUCACAAACCAAGGAGAAUUCAGACUGGCAUCUCAAAUAGGGAAUGUGGACCAAAACAAGUGGGUUUUUCAUAUUCCUCUUCACUUCUCAUUUGAAUAUAUGAUUGCAUCAUUUACAAGCUCAUCUUUCUUUACAUAAUAUAUGUGUUCCAAAGAAGUUCUAAGCAGAAAUAUUUUUCUAAAGAUUUUAUUUUUGAUGUGCAAUGACAAGUGCUUAUUUAAAGGACCAUUGAAAUAAAU
rnacentral:lncRNA from 1 species